rnacentral:rRNA from 1 species
AACGAACGCUAGCGGCGUGGAUAAGACAUGCAAGUCGAACGGGACAACAUCUGUAGCAAUACAGGUGUUGUUUAGUGGCGAACGGGUGCGUAACACGUGGGCAAUCUGCCGAGAAGUGGGGGAUAGCUCGCCGAAAGGCGAAUUAAUACCGCAUAUGAUCAGCUAAGACAUCUUAGCGACAUCAAAGCCGGGGCAACCUGGCGCUUUUUGAGGAGCCCNCGGCCUAUCAGCUAGUUGGUGAGGUAACGGCUCACCAAGGCCUAUGACGGGUAGCUGGUCUGAGAGGACGACCAGUCACACUGGAACUGAGACACGGUCCCAGACACCUACGGGUGGCAGCAGUCGAGAAUUUUUC